rnacentral:rRNA from 1 species
UACGUAGGGUGCAAGCGUUGUCCGGAAUUAUUGGGCGUAAAGAGCUUGUAGGCGGUUUGUCGCGUCUGCCGUGAAAAUUCGAGGCUCAACCUCGAACUUGCGGUGGGUACGGGCAGACUAGAGUGUGGUAGGGGAGACUGGAAUUCCUGGUGUAGCGGUGAAAUGCGCAGAUAUCAGGAGGAACACCGGUGGCGAAGGCGGGUCUCUGGGCCGAAACUGACGCUGAGGAGCGAAAGCGUGGGGAGCGAACAGG